CUAACAUAUAUGCGAGUGUUCUUGAAAGGGAAACGAUUGAAGUCUAACAUAUAUGCGAGUGUUUUUGAAAGGGAAACGAUUGAAGUCAGUCGUACCUGCGGGUAAUCAGCCUUUUGGGCAUGAUUCUGUGGAGUGUGGGGGAGCGUAAACACCCUCAUGGCCUGCAUAUUCGUGCUCUUGGGUGUACUUGCUCGUGUGGUUGGUAAC
rnacentral:rRNA from 1 species